CCGAGUUUGGGUCCUCCGGGGCUCCUCUCCAACCCGUGUCUAACCACCCCGUUGCUUUGGCGGGCCCGCCCCCUCACAGGGGCCGCCGGGAGCCCCCUGGCCUGCGCCCGCCGGAAGCCCCCCUUCAACCCUUUGAAACCGGUGUAUUCUGAGUCUGCGAUGAGAAUUGACCA
rnacentral:misc_RNA from 1 species